GAAAAGUCUUGCUCCACCUCUUGAAACUCUCUUGUGCAUUUAUGACAGUAGCAGGAGUACAGAGCACUAAUGGUGUGGUUUGGGAGAAAUCGUCUGCUACAUAAGACUUUCAGAGAUGGUGAAAGAAGAGGGCAGAACAGGAUUUAAGUCGUAUGUUUGGGUGUUUAGGCUGACAACAAGCUUACAAAGGCUGGUUACAAGAAGGGAUGGGCAUUAUAUUUCCUAUGCAAGCUGAGAUAUUUCAAAGGUAGCAGCAACAUGCUUUGUUUUGUGUGAUCUACAGAGUCACCAUGAGGACCAAAGCCAUCCUUCUUAUGUCAGUGUUUAUACUGAUACUCUUGAUUCCCGUAUCUUUUGCUACCGGCACUCAAAACUAUACUCUAGAGAACAAUACGACAUCUACUCAAACUUUAGGCUAUUCACACUCUCCCUCUGGAGCUACAAACAGCACAACAACAUCCUCCCCAACAUCCAAUUCAGUUACAACCGUUGUUCCAUCAGGUACAACAAAUACAGCUCUACCUAGCACAACUUCCUCAUCCCCCACAACCGGAAAGGCAGUGAAGAUUUGGCUUAUUGUCAUUCUGUUGGUCAUCAUGGUUUUGAUGGUGCUUGUGGCAUAUCUCCAUCACGUGUGCCAGCAGUCCGGCCAUAGCGGCUCUGUGCCCAGGUUCCUAUUAGAUGUGAGGGAGAGGCUGAGAACCUGGAUCAGGAACCUGGAGGACCACCAGGGUGUUCAGCUUUGGCCAGGGGACAAGAGACCAGCAGAGGAUGCCAUGGAGGAGGAUGCCAUGGAGGACACAGAAGGAGGACAGGCAGAUGAGGGAGAGGUGUGGAGGGGUGGAGAAGGAGCUAAUAAUGAACUAAGCAACGAGGAAAAAGGAGAACACAAGGAGGAAGACAGCGACACUUCGGAUGACUGCUCAAGUUUGGAGGGGGAUGAUCUGAGGGAGAGGGCACUAAACAGACAGAAUGAAGAGGAGGGGAACCAGAGCAAGGACAAGGAUGAGGAUGAAACGAGUACCUCAAGUGAUGAAGGUCAAAGUCAUUCAGAAGGAAUGAGUGGUGGAAAUAAAGAUGAAGAUUCUGAAGAGACUGCACUUGUAAUCUCCCCUCAGCAGGAUUUAUGUGAUGUGACUGUUUUAUAGUGAAACGAUGCAUGAGUGAAGGAGAAGAUUCUGACUGUUUUUAAUGUUACAGAGUUUAGAUAGUUACUUUAUCGACACCAAAUCAAUAAAUAAAUCAAUACAUUUGCCUUUUUCAUAGUUGUCUCUGUGCUCUACCACUGAAACUCCGAUGUAAAAAAAAACAAAACACUGUCAGUGUGUGAUGAUCUUCAAAUAAACCUUUAAAAAAAUCCUCCUCUGUCUGGAAUUAACAUGAAAUUCAGAUGGCACAAAGACAGCUUUUUUACUGAUGAGUACAUAAGUGAGGGGACUACACCUUACAAAGUUAUAUUCAAAAUACCUCUCUUCAAAAGCACUCCAGUAUAAUGAGCAGACACCGUCCAUGGGCUUUUUCUCCAAAGGCCCAUGGACAGGUGAUAAGAAGCAUCAACACCAACUAAUUUAAAGACCUAUUUGCCAGAUAUCAAAUAUUAAAAUAGAUUUCUAUUUCUCAUCAGCCCUAC
ensembl:lncRNA